UUGGCUCAGUGGUAGAACAUCUGCCUUGCAUGCAGAAUGUCCCAGGUUCAAUCCGCAAUGGCAUCUCAA